rnacentral:tRNA from 1 species
GUCAGAAUGGCCGAGCAGUCUAAGGCUCUGCGUUCAGGUCGCAGUCUCCAUUGGAGGCGUGGGUUCAAAUCCCACUUCUGACA